rnacentral:tRNA from 1 species
GCGAGAGUGGCGGAACUGGCAGACGCGCUGGAUUUAGGAUCCAGUACCGCAAGGUGUGGGGGUUCGACUCCCCCCUCUCGCA